rnacentral:rRNA from 1 species
GACGAACGCUGGCGGCGUGCUUAACACAUGCAAGUCGAACGGAAAGGCCCUGCUUUUGUGGGGUGCUCGAGUGGCGAACGGGUGAGUAACACGUGUGUAACCUGCCCUUGACUUUGGGAUAACUUCAGGAAACUGGGGCUAAUACCGUAUAGGAGCUCCUGCUGCAUGGUGGGGGUUGGAAAGUUUCGGCGGUUGGGGAUGGACUCGCGGCUUACCGGCUUGUUGGUGGGGUAGUGGCUUACCAAGGCAUUGACGGGUAGCCGGCCUGAGAGGGUGACCGGCCACAGUGUUCCUGAGAUACGGCCCAGACUGCUACAGGAGGCAAUAGUUGGGAAUAUUGCACAGUGGGUGGCAGCCUGUUGCGGUGACGCCGCGGUCGGUAUGACGGCCUUCGGGUUGGGAACCGCUUUCGCCUGUGACGAAGCGUGAAUGACGGUAAUGGAUAAAGAAGCACCGGCUAACUACGUG